UGCGGACCCGGAAUACAGGUACGCCAUACCAAACGCCCUAGUACCGGGUUCCCAGCCCCGCCACGAUUGAGCGCAAGGCCAUUGUCCCCACUUCCGACCCCGAGCACGUCUACGACAUCAAAUAUUUCUCUCGGGACCAGCGUCGCAAUUGUCCUCCAAUCAAACUCACCGUUUUGGAGAAGGCUGAUGUGGAGAAGAUGAUGAAGGAGACGACUUUCGAUGUCACCAAUUUCCCCUGUUUAUUUGACCGCCAAGGUCGAGGCGGACUACAAUGCCAUCGGUGGCGGCUACCAGAGGUGGAAUCCUUCGUGAGGUUCAUGGCUAUUUAACGAGUCGAGAUUCCCCGUCUGCUGUUAAAUCUUUUUGCUGUGCUCAUCAUCUAUUCAGCACUUGAUCCAAAGUGUGUUGUCGUUGAAGGAUUUUUGUUGUUUUUUUGAUUAAAAAUUUUCUAAUUAUAUUGGAACGUGUGAUUAAUAUUAAUCAUCUCAAUGUACUGACAAAUCUUUUUAGUUAGAAUGUCACCAAAUAUAGAGGAUGGACCCUCAACCAAUGGAGAUCUUUUUGUAUUACUUCACAAGUAACACAAUUAUUUUGAUUCUAAUGAAUGGGGGAUCACUCAAGUUUGCUAAAGUCA